UACGUAGGGUGCAAGCGUUGUCCGGAAUUAUUGGGCGUAAAGAGCGUGUAGGCGGCCACGCAGGUCCGUUGUGAAAACUGGAGGCUCAACCUCGAGACGUCGGCGGAAACCAUCUGGCUAGAGUCCGGAAGAGGAGAGUGGAAUUCCUGGUGUAGCGGUGAAAUGCGCAGAUAUCAGGAAGAACACCCGUGGCGAAGGCGGCUCUCUGGGACGGUACUGACGCUGAGACGCGAAAGCGUGGGGAGCGAACAGG
rnacentral:rRNA from 1 species